CACGCUAGCCACGCCCCAUGAUCUCUCAUCACACAUUUCAGUAAGUUUCUUUUCCCUAACUCCGUUCUAUUUGUUUACUUCAUCUUCUUCUCUAUGCACGCACGGACACCACGAACCACGACACCAGACGAGCUUCUUCUUCUUCGCCACCAUCACGCACACGACUGUGACGGUUAUGUCCCCAGACGCGACACGCAUAUAUAGUCUACUUUUCGUAAACCCUAGGACUAUAAGCUAUUAUGAAGCAUUUGUGCAACGCAGCCUGUGCGGAUCUUACAGUUACUGACUUUCAGAAGCUGGAGUUAUUGGCUUUCAGAAGCCGAGGUUACCGGCUUUCAGAAGCCAGAGUUAUUGACUUUCAUAAACUGGAGUUAUCGGCUUUCAGAUCCCAGUGUUACUGACUUCCAAGAUAGAAACAAUGGUAAAACAUGAAUAUAAAUUG